rnacentral:rRNA from 1 species
UACGUAGGGGCGAGCGUUGUCCGGAGUUACUGGGCGUAAAGGGCAUGCAGGCGGUCCGACACGUUUUGUGUGACAGCGGGUGGCUUAACCUACCGAGGAUACGAAAGACGGUUGGACUUGAGGACUCGAGAGGGACACGGAAUUCCGGGUGGAGUGGUGAAAUGCGUAGAGAUCCGGAGGAACACCGAAGGCGAAGGCAGUGUCCUGGCGAGUGACUGACGCUGAGGUGCGAAAGCCAGGGGAGCGAACGGG